rnacentral:lncRNA from 1 species
GACUUUCUUCCAGGAUGGCCUGUUGCUAAUAUCAUCCCACCAAGCACUCACAUGCUUUCUGUCUCUAAUCAUGUACUCCUUCUCCAUCGGCCCAACCAAGUAUUGAGUAAAUGGAAGGUGACUCAGAUCAGCCAGGCUGAAGAAAUCUCCUGCCAAAUACUUGCUCUUUGAGAGCCUCUCCUCGUAAACAUCAAGAACUUUUCCAAGUUUUUCUUCACUCUUCUUUACCAAUUUUUCAUCAACAGAAAGUCCCAACUUGGAGGCAAAUAAAAGUUGCACAGUCAUCUCGUAAAUUGGUGGGUGAUAGUUGUGUGCCUCUACCUCUAGCCAUUGCUCCACAAGGCCUCUUUCUUCAGUUGUUUUUCCCAGAAGUUCGGUUCCUUGAGACCUGUACUUUUCGGCGUAGUACCUUAUGAUAGCUCGAGAUUCUGUAAAUGAAUCAUUAACUUGAAAUGUUAAACUUAUAACUAGAAUACAAAACUAGUAAUUUUGAAAGCUUAAAUUUUCCUUUUAAUCUCUAGAGUUUGCUUGAUUUACUCUGUUACCUCUUUUAUCUUAAGAAGUUAUCCAAAAUGUUUGUGCAGUUACUUUUCAUAACUAUAUAUGGAUAUGAUUUUUCAAUAAUAGAAUAGAAUUUUUCUGACAUAAUAAUUUAAAAUAUAAACAAAAUUGGCGUGCAACUAGGGAUGACAAUUUUUCCCGAUGGGAUGGGAUCCUGCGGGAUCUCAUCCCAUUUAGGACGGGAUUCGGACAUAUUUUUGUACCAUAAAAAAAUUUAGGGACGGGUGUGAGACAUUUUUUUAUCCCAAUUACAUAUGCGGGACGGAAGUGGGAUUGACAAAUUCCGUCCCAUCCCGCCUCAUUGCUGAUUAAGAAUGGAAAGUUUUUUAAUUGGGAUGGGAUCCCGCAGGAUCUCAUCUCUUUGGGGAGGGGAUUUGAACAUAUUUUUGUCCUAAAAAAAAUAUAGGGACGAGACUGAGACAUUUUUUUAUCCCAUGUACAUAUACGGGACGGGACUGAAAUUGAUAAAUCUCAUCACAUCCCAUCUCAUUGCCAACCCUACAUGCAACCGACUUGAAGUAAAGAAUAAUCAAGUAAAGUUUAACGAAAACAAAAUUUUCAAUACCAUUUUGGAUAAUUUAAGAAAAAAAUCUCACAAACUAUCUGUUUAAUUAACUUAAAUCUAAAGACAUAAAAGUAUUUACUCUUAAUUAAAUUUUACAUUUCAAUUUGAAAGUGGAAGGAGUACCGUAUAACGUAAAAUCUCCAUCUUGAAUGACAGGCAGAGCACCGAAAGGCUGUAUAUAUAAUUUUGUCAGAAUUGAAAACAAAAGAGUAAUUAAUUAAUCGAAGCAUCGAGACACACGAUCAUCAAUUAAUGAAUGAAGUGAUUAGAUAAUGCAUACAUGCAUAAUAUAUUUAUAAAAAAAAAAUUGCUGAUUAAAUUAAUGAACCUGCAAUUUGAGGUACUCAGGAUUUCUAUGCUCUCCUUUGAUGAGAUCAACGGGAGCAGUUUCAAAUUCGAUUUGCUUCUCAAUCAAGCACACAAUCACUCGUUUGGGAGAAGCAUAAGCUGGACCAUACACCUUUACCACCAUUGUUGUUGCUUUUGCUAUUCUCUUUCUUAACUUUUUCUCUCAAUAAAAAGCAGUGAGUGAGUUUGUGAUGCUGGGCAGUUUGCUUAUCCCCUUUAUAUAGGCAAAUAUAGUGCCAAAGUGGGAUUUUUUCAUUAUAUAUUAAUUUACAGCCACUGGUAGGAAGUUAUGUCAAGGAAGGUCGUAGAUAAGCGCACGCCAUCAUGUGUAUUGUCCUAUCUUUCACGCAAGGAAAAAAAAAAUAAAUAAACUUACAAUUUCCAUAGAAAGACUCGCGUAAAGAAUUGACUUUUGAAAACAAAAAUUAAAUUGGAGGCACUUUCUUGAUGGAGUGACUGCUUCUAACACCCCAGUAAAAUACUGGACACACCCCAUCUGUAAUAACCCGGCCAAUUAAAAAAUAGACAUAAUUAACUCUUUCUAUAAACACUCUUUGUAAUUACAUAAAUAACUUGCCGAUGGCCGUGGCCGUGGCAGUGGCAAUGGUAGCGGCCGUGGUUAUGGCGAUGGAAGUGGUCGUGGGCGUGGCAGGGGUAGAUGUGGCAGGUGUGGACAUGGAUGAUUGCAAAUUGAUUAUAGAUUAAGUAGUCCCAAGAAACUAGGAGAUAAUUGCCUUAACCAAUUUCACAUUUUCGGGCUUUUCUUCAAUUCUCACUUUAAUACCCAUUUUUCAAGGAAAUUGUUCACGCCAGCAAGUUACGCCAGUAGGUAUCUUGACCUGCUUUUUGCAGUCUGUAUUUUGAAAUUUUGCCAUCCUCUCCCCUAAACCUGCUCCACGUUGCAUACCUCAAUUAGUCCAUUGUCUUUGCAGUUCAACCUGACAUCGGUUUCUACAUUUGAUUGCUUGAAUUAUGUGCUUCUUGUUCUUGCUCCUGGUUAAUUGGUUUUGCUCUUUAUAUAUGCUCGCUUCUACCCUUUUUUUUUAAGUUCAACGCUUCUCUGUUUUAUUUUCUUUCAAAUCACAACAUUAUGGAUCAGGUAGUCCCAAGAAACUAGUAGGCAGCAAACCAGCAACCGCAGGACUAGUAGGCGUAACACCAACAGCUGCCAAAUCAUAUUCUGGGCUUACCGUUGUUUUACAACUUUCUCAAUCAAAUCGUGGAGUCCUAUUAUGCAAACUAUGAGCACGGUCGACACUAUGACAAGUAUAUUCUGCCUUUUGUCCUAGGAAACAAUUAACAAAUAAUAGUUAUAAGGACUUUAGCUUCCAACUGUGGACAACCUGCCGGUGAUGGUGGCCGUGGAGAUGGUGAUAGUAGUGGCCGUGGUUAUGGCGAUGAAAGUGGUCGUGGGCGUGGCAGGGGUGAAUGUGGCAGGUGUGGAUAUUAAUGAUUGCAAAUUCAUUAUGGAUCAGGUAGUCCCCAAAAAACUAGGAGUCAUUUGCCUUCCUUAGCCAAUUUCACAUUUUCGCACUUUUCUUCAAUUCUCGCUUUAACACCCAUUUUUCCAGAAAAAAUUUUCACGCCAACAUGUAUCUUGACCUGCUUUAUGCAGUUUAUAUUUUGAAAUUUUGCCAUCCUAUACCCUAGCAUUAAUGGGUCAUCAACCACCUGCUCCAUAUUGCAUACCUCCAUUAGUCCAUUGUCUUUACAAUUCAAUCUGGCUCCGGUUUCUGCAUUCAGGUUGCUUGAACUUUGCGCUGGUUGUUCUUGCUCCUGGUUAAUCGGUUUUGCUGCUUUAUAUAUGCUCGCCUCUCUUUUUUUUUUUUUAACUUCACCACUUCUCCGUUUUAUUUUCUUUUUUUAACUUCACCACUUCUCCGUUUUAUUUUCUUUCAAAUCACAACAUUAUGGAUCAGGUAGUCCCAAGAAAUUAGGAGCCAGCAAACAAGUAACAGUAGGACUUGCAGCCGCAGCACCAGCAGCUUCCAAACCAGAUUCUGAGCUUACUGUUGUUUUGGGACUUUUUCAAUCAAAUCGUGGAGUUCUAUUAUGCAAAACAUGAGCACGGCAAUUAAGUCAUUGAGCUUUUGGCAAUUGUUUUGAACAUUAGCACGGGGUUGACUUCUGUACUUAUAUGCCACUUAAGCCACUCGAUUUUCAGUAUAUUUUGGAAUGCCUUAUAGGAGCUCCACAUAUUCUCAUAGUGAAUUCUAUUGAAAUUUCUUCUCUCAUACACAAGACUUCGUUGCCGUUCUCUAAUCAUAUUCGGAUAGUGAUCAAACUCCCAAUGGAUCAAGUUGAAAUUAGAUCAACAUGAAACUCAGCUCUUCAUUCUUGGUUGUAGAAAAAUCUAUCUAAUUUUUUCUCUAUGCAAUAUGGUCCAAGUUGUCUGUUAGACCAAGUAAACGGAUGACCUCUACUCUCCAAAUCAAUUAGCUUACAUUCUUUCACAGCAUCACUAAAUUCGGCAAUCACAUUGGCAUUUCUAUCCAAACCCCCAGUUUUCUUAUUUGAAUACAGGAUCUCAUUAAAGUCACUAAAACACAGCCAUGGGAGAGAGGACAAACCUGACAUUCUUCUCAAAAGAGUCCAGCUGUGCUUUUUUGUAUUUGAUUUAGGGUACCUAUACUCCUGUGCAUCUCCAAAAUUUCCCAUUCACGUGCUGAACAUGCAUGCCUAUGUGGUGUCUGUUGUAGGAUUUAAGUUGAAUAUCAAUAUCCUUACUCUAUAAUAAGGCAAAGCCACCAGUCUUUCCAACUUCAUCAGUAGCAAAAUAACUAUCUAGAAUCAUCGUUCUACACGCUUAUUUGACAUGCACAUUUGUCAAUUUGGUUUCAUAAAGAAACACCAGCUGAGACUUCUGCAAUUGGAGGAUUUUCUUCAAUGCUAGGCACGUUCGGGGAUUCCCCAAAUCUCAAACGUUCCAGCUUAUGAUUUUCAUGGCUGUCAGUGGGGUUGGUUUCCAGCCUCUGCCGCUACAUUCUCUGUAAACCUCCUUUGUCCAUAUUUCAAACUUCUUGUUUCUUCCACCCACAAAAGAUUAAAUUUUACUGGGGAAAGUUGAGUUUGCUUGGCUUGUGAAUCACCCAGGCUCCUCAUUUUAAUUUUUUUGCAUUCUGGGCUUGGUUUUAUUUAUUCUUCCACGGGCCGCUUGAGUGAAAUUAGCCCAACAUUUCCGGCCCGUGUAAUUACUCUUUCCCUUACUUCCAAUUUCCAUUUCUUGAUUUCUUCCUCUUAUCUUUCACAAAUGUGCAUAUCCCAGCUACUUCUGUUUCAGUAUGCUUUUGUAUUUGGUCCAUAUUGUCUCUCAGUAGGGGUGGGCAUGCGUUGGUUUGGAUUGGGUUUUAAGACAAUCCAAAUUAAACCAUAAAAGUUUGGUUCAACUCAAACCAAUUCAAAUGUUUUCAACCCAACCCAAACCAAUCCAUUUGGGUUUGGUUUGAAAUUUAUUAUCAAAAUAAUUUUUAUUUUGAUAAAUUUAAUUAUAUAAAAAUUAUAAUAAUUAUUAAUUGUUAUUAAUUAUUUUUUUAAUUCAAUUUUUAUUAAUGAUUAAAUUCAUACUAAAAUAUGAAAAAAAUAUAGUGGAUAAAAAUUACAAAUAAUAAAUUUUACAAUAACUUAAUCCUUAAAUUAAAGAAUACUAGAAAAUUAAAAUAAAGUUUAAUCACAAAAAUCAUUAAUUCUCAAUAAAUAAGAACGUAAACUCUAAUAAUAAACUUCCACAAACAUGACAUCAACAGGUAAAUUCAAAGAAAGAAAAUAAAAAAAAAACUUAUGUGAGUGCCAUUUAGUUAAAAUAAUAAAAUUUCUAUGUAUCCUUUGACUUAUAAUUAUUGAGAUGAUAAUUUUCUAUCAAAUGGUGUUUUUUUUUUUCAAUAGGUUGAUUGCUCAUAAAUUUCAGGAUGGAGGAUCAUUGUCAAUAAAUCCCAUCAAAAUAAAAAAAUGGAGUAUUAUUUAUGCUACAGUAUCAAUAUAGCACACAAAAUGUUAAUUUUAUUUAUAAUAAGGCUUUAUAAUUUCUAACAUAAUAAUAUUUUAUCAAUGGCGAAAUAUCAUUUCUCAUAAUUAUUAAUUAUUUCCUUCCAAUGGCUAGGUAACUAUGCCCUCAAAAACCAUCUCAACAUUAUUACUAUAAUUUUUCUUGAUUUAAAUACAAAAACAACAAUAUAGAUUUGGUGUUUUUCUUAUUACUGUUAGAAACAUAAAAGCGGUAAUUACGUAAGUAUAAUAUGAGUUCAUAAAUUGAAAAAAAAAAUGAUUUCAUUUCAUCAAACCCUAAUUUCAUCUCAUUUAAUUAUUUACAGUAGCAUUUAUUUAAUUUAGAUUUGUUUUUACAUAUUGUUUUCCUUUUCUAACUGUUAACAAUUGAUCACGUCGUGAACAAUUUAAUAAUGACCUUUCACUUAUUUGUUUUUGUUUUCAUUUAUUUCAUUUGACAAGUUUGAGUAUUGUGGUUUUGUUCAUGACCCAUGGGUAAACUAUACCCAACCCAUAAUAAAAUGAUUUUUUAUAUAAAAUCCAUAUUUAAUCCAUUUUCAUACUUUACUCAACCCAAACCAUUUAAUUUGGUUUGGAUUUGGUUAAACCCAUGGAUUGUGGGUUUAUGCCCAGCCCUAUCUCUCAGCAUAUUUAGGCCCAUUGAGCCCAUAUUCUUUUUUUCAAUCUCCAAUGCAUUUUCCCACUUAUUCUUUUCACUGUUUCCCGCUAAAUUGCUCAUUUUUAUAGACAUUAGCUCCCCAUCAGCUAUCUCUGUAGCAUUGCUAUAGUUUAUAGUAUGUUGUUUAUUAUCCCCUCCAUGCUUCAUUAAUGAGCCUGCAGUUAAUCCUUCCACGUGGAUGAUCUUUGUUGGCUUUGUGCUGAUCCCAUUGUGAGAUUGGGUUGCCCCAGAUCCAUCUCUCACACAUUGCUUACCCUGGCCCGUUUUUUAUUGAAUUCGUUCUUCUUGUUAUUGGUUUUCCAAUGCUGACUAUGACGCUCUUUGCUUCCUAUUCCAAAGUUCUUAAUCGUUCUCUGCUUGGCUCUUUCCUCUCUUGUCAGUGCUUUCAUCCAUGCUCCAUAUGUUAACUAUCUUUUGGCUACCCUUUUUACUCAAGACACUCCUUACAUUGAUGCUAAAUUAGCCCACAAUAGAAGCAAAAGUCAGGCAAUUUUUCAUAAGCGAUUCAAUAAAAAUCCUCUCACUAUCUUCUAGUUUUAACAACAACCUUUUUUCAGUGAUUGUGUUACAUCUAUCGAGAUUCUUAGGCGAGAAAAAUGAGCCAAAACAUUCCCCUGUUUCAUCCAUUUCCACCUCCUCAACCUUACCAAUCUUUUUUCCUAUAUCCCUCAUUAUGUCUUUAUCCAUUCACAUAAUAGGUGCAUUGUGAAUUUGCACCCAAAAUGAUGUAUGGUUGAAAGCCUGCUGCUUAAUGUUACCCACAUUGGAUGGUUCUAUGAGCACCAUUAGCAGGUUGUUGAAGUGCCAUGCUCCUCCAUGCAAUAUCCUCUUUUUUUUGCUUUCUGAGGCAAAUUUAAAGAUGAAGACGUUUUCACCUAGACUCUCCACUUUCAAUUCCUUUAUUGAUCUCCAUACUUGUUGGAUCGUUGCUCUAAGCCCUUCACGGGAGACUCCACGUGUAUGAAAUAUUUUUCCAACGAGACAAUGUGCUGCAACUUUCUGUCCUUUAGCUUUCAUUCUUCCCCCAAAGUUGAUCAUAUUGUCUUCUUCUGAUUUUACGCUUAUGGCUUCACGUUUACGUAUGAAUUCAUCAGCGUCCAUCUCUCCUUUUAAAGCAGAUCAGUUGAACUAAAAAACUCACCAACUUCUCACCAACCCUUUUAACUAUAUUGAUUCCCCUUACCAUGUUUAAUACUCUUACCAAUUUCCCCCUUCCAGUUUUUUUUUAAUGUUUUCCACCCACCCUGCGAGUGACACUCCGCCACUCAACCCGUGAGUGAGUGACAAAUUUGGAUCACCAAGGAUCCUUUACUUCAUCAAUUCUAGGCUCUCUUUGAGAGAGAACUGUCUAGAAGGAUACUUUUUUCCUUUAUUUUCAGUAACUUAAUGAAUAUUUAGUAUUGCUUUGGCAUGUGAGAUUGUUGGAUUUUUAGAAUUUGGAGAAUUGCUAUUGACUUCUAAUUCUCGGCAGCUUUUCUUUGAAACAUUGAUUAAUUUUGAAUGGUUUUCAAUUGAUGGGAAUUCUGGGAUUUGUUUGCAGCUUGCGAUUUGGGGAUUUGCUAUUCACGUGAUUGGGGGGUUGCUUUCACAUUUGUCCUUUUUUGUUUCCUCUAAUUACUUUUAUUUUAGCUUUCACAUUAAUGUUAGUGAAGAAUGUAAAAGGACUUUUUAAUUCAAUUUUUAUUAAUGAUUAAAUUCAUACUAAAAUAUGAAAAAAAUAUAGUGGAUAAAAAUUACAAAUAAUAAAUUUUACAAUAACUUAAUCCUUAAAUUAAAGAAUACUAGAAAAUUAAAAUAAAGUUUAAUCACAAAAAUCAUUAAUUCUCAAUAAAUAAGAACGUAAACUCUAAUAAUAAACUUCCACAAACAUGACAUCAACAGGUAAAUUCAAAGAAAGAAAAUAAAAAAAAAACUUAUGUGAGUGCCAUUUAGUUAAAAUAAUAAAAUUUCUAUGUAUCCUUUGACUUAUAAUUAUUGAGAUGAUAAUUUUCUAUCAAAUGGUGUUUUUUUUUUUCAAUAGGUUGAUUGCUCAUAAAUUUCAGGAUGGAGGAUCAUUGUCAAUAAAUCCCAUCAAAAUAAAAAAAUGGAGUAUUAUUUAUGCUACAGUAUCAAUAUAGCACACAAAAUGUUAAUUUUAUUUAUAAUAAGGCUUUAUAAUUUCUAACAUAAUAAUAUUUUAUCAAUGGCGAAAUAUCAUUUCUCAUAAUUAUUAAUUAUUUCCUUCCAAUGGCUAGGUAACUAUGCCCUCAAAAACCAUCUCAACAUUAUUACUAUAAUUUUUCUUGAUUUAAAUACAAAAACAACAAUAUAGAUUUGGUGUUUUUCUUAUUACUGUUAGAAACAUAAAAGCGGUAAUUACGUAAGUAUAAUAUGAGUUCAUAAAUUGAAAAAAAAAAUGAUUUCAUUUCAUCAAACCCUAAUUUCAUCUCAUUUAAUUAUUUACAGUAGCAUUUAUUUAAUUUAGAUUUGUUUUUACAUAUUGUUUUCCUUUUCUAACUGUUAACAAUUGAUCACGUCGUGAACAAUUUAAUAAUGACCUUUCACUUAUUUGUUUUUGUUUUCAUUUAUUUCAUUUGACAAGUUUGAGUAUUGUGGUUUUGUUCAUGACCCAUGGGUAAACUAUACCCAACCCAUAAUAAAAUGAUUUUUUAUAUAAAAUCCAUAUUUAAUCCAUUUUCAUACUUUACUCAACCCAAACCAUUUAAUUUGGUUUGGAUUUGGUUAAACCCAUGGAUUGUGGGUUUAUGCCCAGCCCUAUCUCUCAGCAUAUUUAGGCCCAUUGAGCCCAUAUUCUUUUUUUCAAUCUCCAAUGCAUUUUCCCACUUAUUCUUUUCACUGUUUCCCGCUAAAUUGCUCAUUUUUAUAGACAUUAGCUCCCCAUCAGCUAUCUCUGUAGCAUUGCUAUAGUUUAUAGUAUGUUGUUUAUUAUCCCCUCCAUGCUUCAUUAAUGAGCCUGCAGUUAAUCCUUCCACGUGGAUGAUCUUUGUUGGCUUUGUGCUGAUCCCAUUGUGAGAUUGGGUUGCCCCAGAUCCAUCUCUCACACAUUGCUUACCCUGGCCCGUUUUUUAUUGAAUUCGUUCUUCUUGUUAUUGGUUUUCCAAUGCUGACUAUGACGCUCUUUGCUUCCUAUUCCAAAGUUCUUAAUCGUUCUCUGCUUGGCUCUUUCCUCUCUUGUCAGUGCUUUCAUCCAUGCUCCAUAUGUUAACUAUCUUUUGGCUACCCUUUUUACUCAAGACACUCCUUACAUUGAUGCUAAAUUAGCCCACAAUAGAAGCAAAAGUCAGGCAAUUUUUCAUAAGCGAUUCAAUAAAAAUCCUCUCACUAUCUUCUAGUUUUAACAACAACCUUUUUUCAGUGAUUGUGUUACAUCUAUCGAGAUUCUUAGGCGAGAAAAAUGAGCCAAAACAUUCCCCUGUUUCAUCCAUUUCCACCUCCUCAACCUUACCAAUCUUUUUUCCUAUAUCCCUCAUUAUGUCUUUAUCCAUUCACAUAAUAGGUGCAUUGUGAAUUUGCACCCAAAAUGAUGUAUGGUUGAAAGCCUGCUGCUUAAUGUUACCCACAUUGGAUGGUUCUAUGAGCACCAUUAGCAGGUUGUUGAAGUGCCAUGCUCCUCCAUGCAAUAUCCUCUUUUUUUUGCUUUCUGAGGCAAAUUUAAAGAUGAAGACGUUUUCACCUAGACUCUCCACUUUCAAUUCCUUUAUUGAUCUCCAUACUUGUUGGAUCGUUGCUCUAAGCCCUUCACGGGAGACUCCACGUGUAUGAAAUAUUUUUCCAACGAGACAAUGUGCUGCAACUUUCUGUCCUUUAGCUUUCAUUCUUCCCCCAAAGUUGAUCAUAUUGUCUUCUUCUGAUUUUACGCUUAUGGCUUCACGUUUACGUAUGAAUUCAUCAGCGUCCAUCUCUCCUUUUAAAGCAGAUCAGUUGAACUAAAAAACUCACCAACUUCUCACCAACCCUUUUAACUAUAUUGAUUCCCCUUACCAUGUUUAAUACUCUUACCAAUUUCCCCCUUCCAGUUUUUUUUUAAUGUUUUCCACCCACCCUGCGAGUGACACUCCGCCACUCAACCCGUGAGUGAGUGACAAAUUUGGAUCACCAAGGAUCCUUUACUUCAUCAAUUCUAGGCUCUCUUUGAGAGAGAACUGUCUAGAAGGAUACUUUUUUCCUUUAUUUUCAGUAACUUAAUGAAUAUUUAGUAUUGCUUUGGCAUGUGAGAUUGUUGGAUUUUUAGAAUUUGGAGAAUUGCUAUUGACUUCUAAUUCUCGGCAGCUUUUCUUUGAAACAUUGAUUAAUUUUGAAUGGUUUUCAAUUGAUGGGAAUUCUGGGAUUUGUUUGCAGCUUGCGAUUUGGGGAUUUGCUAUUCACGUGAUUGGGGGGUUGCUUUCACAUUUGUCCUUUUUUGUUUCCUCUAAUUACUUUUAUUUUAGCUUUCACAUUAAUGUUAGUGAAGAAUGUAAAAGGACCCUAUUAUCCUAUAACAUAUUAAGUUCAUGCAUCAAGUGAGUGCCGGGUGAAGUUAGUAUUUUCACAUCUAAUUUUUCAUAAAAUUCCCAAAACUUUUCUAAAUUUUUGCAAGUGCCGAGACACCCUCUAGUCUUAUGCAAACUCCACCCGUAGUUAAGAAAUUGUGGGUAACUUGUGCGUGUAAAAUGCUCAGAUUGAUUACACUCUUUUACCCCGGCAAAGCAGCAUUUUUAGAGGACAUGUCGAUAUCAUUACUACCCAAAAAAAAUACAAGACCUCUUCUAUUUGAAUAAAUAAACAACUUGCAAUAAAGUAAAAGACACUGUCUAACCCAUUUUUUUUUUUUAAAAAAAAAAGCAGUAUAAAAAAAAAAAAGACUCAAGCCUAAAAACAAAAGGUCCAACUCCAAACAUUUAUUUAUUGAAACACAUAUGCAAGAUACAUAUCCCACAGACAGAAACAAACCAAGUAGUAGAGAAGUAAAACACAAGCCCGAAAAUUGAAACACAUACAAUCAAGCUCAGCCGAAAGGAGUCUUACAAAGUUCAAGGACUUUCUUCCAGGACGGCCUGUUGCUAAUAUCAUCCCACCAAGCACUCACAUGCUUCCUGUCUCUAAUCAUAUGCUGUCUCCCCAUCGGCCCAACCAAGUAGUGGGUAAAUGGAAUGUGACUCAGAUCAGCCAGGCUGAAGAAAUCACCAGCCAAAUACUUGCUCUUUGAGAGCCUCUCCUCGUAAACGUCGAGCGUUUUUCCAAGCUUUUCGUCACUCUCCUUCACCAAUUUUUCAUCAACGGGACGUCCAAACUUGGAAGAAAAUAAAAGUUGGAUGGUCAGCUCGUAAAUUGCUGGGUUGUAGUUGUGUGCCUCUACUUCUAGCCACUGUUCCACCAGGCCUCUUUCUUCAAUUGUUUUACCCAGAAGUUCGGUUCCUUGAGACCUGUACUUUUCGGCAUAGUACCUCAUGAUAGCUCGCGACUCUGCAAAUGAAUCAUAACCUUGGAACGUUAAACCUAUACCUAGAAUUUAAAACUUGUACCGUUGAAAGUCACUUAUGCCAUGUUUAAGCUCAUAAUUAAUUAGAAAAACUAAAGCAUAAGUAAACAAAUAUUAACAGAAACAUAUCUACCAAUACAAUUUUUAGCUAAUUUUAAAAAAUCACAAACUACCCAAGUAAUCAACUCAAAUCUAAAUCUGAAGACUUGAAAAAGUAUUUACCGUAUAAAAUAAAAUCUCCAUCUUGAAUGACAGGAAGCUCUCCAAAAGGCUGCAUUAUUUUGUUAGAAUUAAAAGCAUAAGAGUCAAUUAAUCAAUUAAUCAAUCAAAACACGAACAUCAAUACACACGAUCUUCGAUUAAUGAAGUAAUUAAAUUAAAUUAAUGAACCUGUAAUUUGAGGUACUCAGGACUUCUCUGCUCUCCUUUGAUGAGAUCAACGGGGACAGUUUCAAAUUCGAUUUCCUUCUCAACCAAGCACAAAAUCACUCGUUUGGGAGAAGCAUAAGCCGGACCGUACACCUUGACCACCAUCGUUGCUGGUGUUAACUUUUUCUGUCGAUAAAAAGCAGCUAUUGAGCUUGUGAUCGUAAUCUACGGGCAGUUUGCUAAUCCCUUUUAUAUAGGCUAAUAUAGUGGCGCCAUAGUGGGAUUUUUCUCUAUUUUUUAAUUACAUAUUAAUUUGCAGCCACCGAUAGGAAUCAAAGUUAUGUCAAGAUAGGCGGCCCAAUCUCGGGCAACUUAGAAGUCAGGAACCCAUUUCAUAUUAUUCUAGUUUUGACUCUAAAGGCCUCACAUGGCCUUGAGUCGGUCUCGGUCUUAGGUCAGCACAUACCAUCAUGUGUACAGUGCAUUGUCUUAUGGUUCAUAAAAAGACAGAAAGAAAAUGAACGUGGUCUCUUUUGCAUUUAGUGUACAAACGUCGCUGUGGUAACUUGACCAUAUUUUUUUGUCUUAUGGAAGGCGACCAUAACCAUUGGAUUUCGGAAGUAGGACACGCAGGCAUUGCAGAAGACCUGAUUGUCCCGUAAACAAAAGGUAAAUUGAAGGGAACAACUUGUGGCGGGGGAUUCCAUUGGUUGAUUUAUAUUACAGGCAGAGGCUUGGUUUAAAGCCUCACCAUAUGAGUGGUUUUAUUAAAAAAUGAAAAAAUUUAUAGCGGGAAUUCCACCUAACAUUAAGGAAAACGAGAGAUUAGUCAUUGUCAGAUUAAACUCAAAUUAUUUGAUUUGAUCACCUAGCAUAAAUGAUCGAUGUUAAUUUAGAAGGUCGGCACAUUUGUGAGACCAUGCAAUGUAAUUGAAAUAUGGUUACUCCGACAAGAGGUGUAAGGCAAAACAUAUAUAGUUUAUUGUACUUGUGAUUAUCACAAGUUAAUUAGACGUAGCCAUACUUCCCAUUUUACAUUUUGCAAGUUAAUAAACAAUGAUAAUUUAAAAAUUAUUAUUGAAACAAAAAUUCGAGGCAUUUCCAUGAGCAUUCUCACUCAUUUCAUAUUCCGAAGAAUUCUUGAGUGCAGACUUCGGCAUAGAUUUUGAUUUUCGUCAAAGAUGAAAAGUAUAUGAAUCCAUUUGCAAUUAAAAACUGAAAAUCUAAUGUGAAGAGAAUAAUAAUGCAUUUGUCUUCUAGAAAGUCUGUCCACCAGAGUAUUGGCCCAUCUUACGCAUGAUGGAGUCCAGAAGCCACCAUUAGGGUAUUUCCCUUGGUAACUCUUCCCCUCAUCUUACUGUAGACCAAAACGCAAACCUAUCAAGGACAAAACUUUAUCCAAUUAAAAUCCAUUCUUUUUAGCGAGAAAUUUUAAAAUACACUAGAAAUAUCACGUAUUCAUGUUAACAAUAUAAUAAAUAAAUGAUCUUAUGAUAUAUACACAUUUAUUUUUAAAAAAAUCACUCUAUAAGUGAUUGUUAAAAAGACUAAACUUAUUUCAUUGAAAAUGAUCAUGGAAAAUUUACCUAUCUAGUUAUUUUUUUAAAAUAAUUAUCUCUUUAUAUAUAUAUAUAUAUCCAUUUUGGGCCAAAUUAUCCAUAAAACAAACCAAACAGAUCUUAAUUCGCAAGCACAACAUCACCCACAUCGCCCCCAUCUCUUUCUGCGGUUUUGCUAGCUUCUACAGCAACUUCUUUUGACAGUCACAGCUUCCAUCGAAAGCAGCAUACUUCCUUCGACCCUUCUAUGGUUUUGGUCAACUGCAUUUCACAGUUUUGAUCGGAUUUACUUCACAGUUUUGCUUGGCUUCACCUCAAGGUGUUGUUAUAUUUUGAUGAAGAGUAGAAAUCCAUAUUAUACUAAGAUUAGUUUCCUUAUUAACUAAAGUUUAAGACUUUUUAAUUUCUUUAUAAUUUAGAAUUUUAUUUCCCUUUCAAUUUAGAAUUUUGAGUUUAAUAAUAUUUCAAUUUUCAAAUCUCUUUGUGAGUAUUUGAACAGUUAAUUCUCGGUAUUCUGCGGAAUCAACGAGUUUUAAACCCUAAAUUCGCGGUAUUCUUUUGAAUCAAUGUGAAUUUAGUUGUUCUUUUGUCCGGUAUUCUCUAGAAUCAACGAAAUAUUUUGAACAUUAAAUUUCCGCUGCAUCAGUUUGGUAUCAGAGCCAAAACCUGAUAUCACCAAUCUAACUCCAUCUACCACCAAACAGAGGCGGAUGCAGCACAUGACUAGUGAGGGCUCAAGCCCCCACUGGCCAAAAAAAAAUUUAAAAAAUAAAAGAAAAAAUAUUUUAAUUUUUAAUUAGUCCCAUUAAAUUUAUUAAAAUAGUCACUAUAAAAUGUAAAACCCAUAAAAUUUAAACUUUGACUUUUAAAAAAUAUAAAAACAUAUAUUUUAAUUAAAAAUAAUGAUAGCCCACUAUUCAAAAUAUUUUAUAUUCUAAAAAAUAUGGUUAAUUCUUCCAGUUUAUAUAAUAAUAGUAGAACGAAUAUUUUCAGUAAUAAAACUCAUGAAGGAUCAUCUUUGGAAUCAAAUGGGAUAAGUGAUAGUUUGGUUGUCUAUAUAACAAACAAUAAAUUUAAUAAUAUUCAUAAUGAGUCUAUUGCAUAAAAUUUUUAAAAUAUAAAAAUGCGUAGAGACUAAUUAUAAAUAUUUUAUAUAUUCAAAAUUUUAAUUUUUUAUAUUUUACUAUUAUCUAAUUUAGCCCCCGGUAAAUUAUUUUUUUAGAUCUGCCACUGCCACCAAACCUUUCCUUUUUUCCUUCUUUGAUUUUUUCCGUUUAGUUAAAAAAAAAAAAUUGAAACAGAACAGAAACAAAACCUUCAGCCCGCGGCCACUGUCCAAGGUUGCCGGCUCUCUUUUUCCGUCACCGAUCCGGACGCAACCACCACUAAACGGAUCAUAAAUCGUCGGCCAUCAAACCCCAAGCAUCUUCCAUUGUCGGUUAGCCACAGAUCGCCAGAAGACAAAGCCAAAACAACCGCGAUCGCCGGAAGACAAAGCCAAAACAGCCGCGAUCGCCGCCACCUCCGUUCACCACUUUCCAGCAUGAUUUGGCCAGAAGCACCACCAUCAAUCCAUUCCUCUCCAUCAACUGAACCUUUCCCACCAUUCCUCACUAUCGAUCGACGCUUAAAUCGCCGGAAACCGAAGCCCUCCAAAACAGCCGGCUUUAUCUAGAAUUUCUGGCCAAAACACCACUUUUUCGGACAAACCACCACCACCACCAUACUUACCAACCCAAAAUCUUUCAGAUCCACCCAUCCUUACUCGAUUUUCGACCACCGUCAUCGGAAAUCUAAAACUUUUGCUUAAUUAUAGUUUCGACCUAAAAUUUUUAUUUACUUUCAGUUUAGCCCUACUACCUUUUUAAAUCCGAAUUUGAAAAAAUGCCUCCAAGAAAAGCUCGCGAUGCUCAUACUGCAACUUACAAUCAAAAAGAUGUUUCUAAAGAUGAAGCUCUGGCUAGUAUGACAGUCAUAAUUGAUAUGUUAGCUCCACAAAUGGCACGAAUGGCAGAGUUACUUGACGAACGCCAUCGUACUCCAGAACGUGAAGACAAAUCAAGUGGAAGCUUUGCUAACCCAUUCUCUGGGCGUCGACCUAGAACUGAGUCUACUGAUGACAGAAGAUGGGAAUCUGGGUUGAGAAUUGACAUUCCUGAAUUUUAAGGAAGUGGUCGACCUGAAGAAUUAUUGGAUUGGAUUAAUGCCAUUGAGGAAGUUUUCAAAUACAAAGAAAUUCCUGAAAAUAAACUAGUUUCGCUUGCUGCAACUCGAUUUCGUGGAAGAGCAGCAGCUUGGUGGCAACAAACUAAGCUCACAAGGAUUAGGCAAGGCAAAAAGAAGAUUGAUUCUUGGGAAAAGUUCAAGAAGCACUUGCGUGGAGCAUUCUUGCCUCAUAAUUACGCCAAACUGUUAUACCAACAGCUACAGAAUUUAAGGCAAGGUAAU